rnacentral:tRNA from 2 species
GCACCUCUAGCUCAAUUGGCAGAGCGUCGGACUCUUAAUCCGCAGGUUCCGGGUUCAAGUCCCGGGGGGUGUACCA